rnacentral:sRNA from 1 species
CUUCGAAGAAGAAAUGGUGCGUGCCAAAAGGGGAUGCGAGUGAAGCAGCUUUGCAGGCUAACAUUGACUUUGUUUGUAAAAGCAGUGGAAUAGAGUGUGGGGCCAUUAACGACGGUGGGCAAUGCUUCAAGCCCAACACAGUUAGGUCCCACGCGGCGUACGCCAUGAACGCAUAUUACCAAGCAUCUGGUGGUAACGAUUUGGACUGUGAUUUCGGCAACACCGGACUCAUCACUCACACCGACCAUAGUUCCCAGGAAUGUAUGUCUCCAGAUGCCGCUACUGGGCUGAAGGCCAGAAAACCGGACGGAGCUGGCUCAGUAA